GCUUCUCGGAAGGUGCUUGAAAAAAGGGUUCAAGUAAAGUAGAGAAUAGAUGUGAGGUGCUAAAUUGAGCCAAUGGACGGAGCUGUAGCCCCGCAGAAAUGCCAUGUGUUCUGGAGAUUUGGAUCGAUGAACAAAAAAAAAGUGUGUGUCAUUUUUCUUCAUGCACUUGGGAAAGCUGCUUGACCUUUGCUCGGACUAACAGCGGGUGGAGAUCGGAUGGAGGUCACGUAAUCGGAUUGACUGAAAGAAGGUUUCUGAUGAGCUUGUUGCUUGGACUCGUGCGGUUACAGAGGAAGUGGGCGAGUAAUGCAAUAACGUCAAGUCUGAAUCGAUGACGGAUGUAAGGCAUCAGCAUCUCGUCAGUGAUUGGUCAGUGAUUAGAUUGCGGAAUGGCUG
ensembl:lncRNA